UCCUUCUUCUGAGCAAACCAUACCUGAUCCAGACAUGCAGAAAGGGAGAUUGGGAAUAAGGAUAAAGGCAAGCUAAGUGGCAGAGAGGGAAGGACAAGAGGAUUGUGGCUGCCACAUACGAGAUAAAAACAACUCACAGCAACAUAAGAGCAGUUUACAGCUGUACAUCGCCAGAGCAGCAGAUGGGACGUGAGUUGGCUGUUGCUUCUCCUGCACUAAAAAGGAACUAUGGCUUGUGGCCAACGAGAGGCUGACAGAAGCGAUGGAGAUGGACAGUUGUGAAAGCUUGUGGAACUGCCUCUGGCCCUCUGACGAUCCAGGCUGAUGGGACGCAGCUGCUGAGGGAACGCAGCUGUGCCGAAUCAGUAAUCAGUGAGCUAAAACCAGACUCUCCCCACCAGCCGCUCUGCCCAG